AUUGAACGCUGGCGGCAGGCUUAACACAUGCAAGUCGAGCGAGAGGCGGACGGGUGAGUAAUGUCUGGGAAACUGCCUGAUGGACGGGGAUAACUACUGGAAACGGUAGCUAAUACCGCAUACCAUCAGAUGUGCCCAUAUGGGAUUAGCUAGUAGGUGGGGUAAUGGCUCACCUAGGCGACGAUCCCUAGCUGGUCUGAGAGGAUGACCAGCCACACUGGAACUGAGACACGGUCCAGACUCCUACGGUAGGCAGCAGUGGGGAAUAUUGGGCAAUGGGCGAAAGCCUGAUGCAGCCAUGCCGCGUGUGUGAAGAAGGCCUUCGGAUUGUAAAGCUCUUUCAGCGGGGAGGCGUUACUCGCAGAAGAAGCACCGGCUAACUCCGUGCCAGCAGCCGCGGUAAUAC
rnacentral:rRNA from 1 species